CAAUAGCGUAUAUUAAAGUUGUUGCAGUUAAAAAGCUCGUAGUCGGAUUUUGGCAUCACGCCGAACUGUCUGCCGAUUGGUAAGUACGGUUUGGCGGGUGCUUCUUUCUUGAAGCUCGUUCCCUUCUUAACUGAAGGGUUCGUUGGUUCAGGUUCUUUUACUUUGAGAAAAUUAGAGUGUUCAAAGCAGGCCUAUGCUCUGAAUAGGUUAGCAUGGAAUAAUAGAAUAGGACUUUGGUUCUAUUUUGUUGGUUUCUAGGACCGAAGUAAUGAUUAAUAGGGACAGUUGGGGGCAUUCAUAUUCCAUGGUCAGAGGUGAAAUUCUUGGAUUAACGGAAGAUGAACUUCUGCGAAAGCAUCUGCCAAGGAUGUUUUCAUUGA
rnacentral:rRNA from 1 species